UGUAUGUUUUUUUUCCUUAUUUAUAGAGAUUUAGUUUUGUUAAUUUUUUUUUUUUGUUAUAGAGAUUUGAUUUUAUUAAUUACUACACUAUUAAUUAUAUGUAAUUAUUUAAUGAGUUGUAAUCAUGUGAUUGGUUGUGACUAAUAUUAAUGCUUAGGUGAGGACUCACCUAAGAAUUUCUCUUAUUAUAAAAAUAAUAAUUUUACUUCAAUACAAAACACUAGUCCAAUUCCCUCAAAAAAAAAAAAAAACUAGUCCAAUCUAAACACAAAACUCCACCGUGUGCCUUCCUUCUCCUUCGUCUCCUACUCUUCAAACACCACCGCAAAAUCGACAAUCUACCUCAAUCUGUAGCUUUCUAAAUUCCCUCUCACUGUUCAAUCCCUAGAUUUUUAGGGUUUCAGAUCUAUAUUCCCUUUCACCAUUCAAUCCCUAGCUUUUUAGGGUUUUAGAUCUAUUCCUCUUCCUCGUGUUUUUUCUUUGACCAAAAUUAAUGGCUUCAAUCCGAAAGACCCUAUCUCCCCGACCUUCUUAGUGGCGUUAUAGUUUCAGAGAUUAUCUAGCGGCGUUGGUGGCUACGAUAAGGGUUUAAUGGUUGAUCAUGUAAGCUUUAGCUUAAGCAUGAACACUGAGAAGGAAUUAACAGAUUGUAGAACUGAAUUUGUUGAAGGAUUUUUUCUGGUUUGUGGUUCUAGGUUUGUCUGUUCUUUUUUCUUCUAGUUUGUUUUUCUGGGUUUGUUUGUUUUUGUUGUUGUGGCUGAAUUUUUUUGGUUAAUUUGGUUAUGAGAUAUCGAUUGUUUGGCUAUGAGAUUCUGGCUGAAUUUUUGUGGCUCAAUUUAAUGUUAGGAAGAAGCAUUUUAAUGUUUUAACUCACUGUUAUGCAGGUAUUUUGGUGGGGUUUUUGAAAUCAAGUCAUGUGUGAAUCCACUGAGAUAAGGGAAAUCAUCUUCUAGAGUUCUAGCAAACUAUAUUUUGUCAAUCUCAAGUCGUUUUGCAACACCAAAGUUUUGCAUUGGAGAAAUACGAUGAAAAGGAAUUACGAUCAAAGAAAGGUUGGAAUUGAUAAUGAUCAUUUAAAGAAAGUAACAUAAGGCAUGUUGUAGGUGAUUCUUCGUAUGAUUAAGUAGCCAAGAUUGUCGGGGUAUUGAAAGGAAAUUUACUAUUUUACAGUUUGCUCAAUUUUAGUUGUAUUUAUAGUUUUAAGAAAAUAUUGUCUUAGUUUGUAUUAAAAAGUCAUGGGAGCAUUAACCACGACUUUAGGUGUUUUAUAGUUUUUUAUUUGAAUAAGUCUUCAUGUGUUUUAUAGUAGCAGUACAUGUUUGCUACUUUUUAGUACCCAUACCAUAGAGUGGAGGUACUCCACUAUGCAUUUAUGUAAUACUAUACAAAUAUUUGAAUAAAGGAGUUCAUGUAUUUUUGCCUCA